rnacentral:rRNA from 1 species
GGAGUAUCGGAAGGAUCAUUG